rnacentral:lncRNA from 1 species
AGUUUAACACAUCAAGGGCUGGAUUUGCCUACGAGCCCCCAGUUUGUAACCUCUCUCCAUUUAUUUAAUUAGUAAGCAUUUACUGGGCGCUUACUGUGUGCCACACACAAUUCUAGGCCCUGGACAACACAGAUAAGGCACCUGGAAAAUGGGUAGAGGGAGAGGAAUUCCCCAGCAGGGACUCCCCAGGGACAGAUGUGAUGGGAAGUCUCGGCCGUGGGGCGCCCCUCUGCUGUGUGGCCCCCACACCGCCCUGGGCUGGUGGACAGGACUUCGGGGCCAUUUUGUUCUCACCCAGCCUGUCUGUACUGUGCAAACCUCCGUCUCCUGGAGCUAAGGGGCUGCCUGGGCAGCCCAGAAGCCUCUAGGCCUCUCCAAAGAUAUACUGGGAAAAACUUUCCCUUGCUAUUGCUCAGAAUCGUUCAACUCCCAGCCGCUUGCUAAUUACUAUGCCCUUGAGCAAAAAUGUUAAUCUAAAAAACAUAAAAUUAUAAUGACUUACUUGACAUAAUUGGAACAAACAAGAUGAGCAGGCAGGCGGCAAGCAGCAGGGGCUCCGGCAUCAGCCCCCCAGCACCUUGCCAGCCUGGGGGCAGGGGACCCACCUGGGUGGGGGCGGGGGCAGAGCCCCCCUGGCCGGCGAGACUCAUUGCCUUGUCAGGGGGCUGAGCGGUUCCGUUGGGUCUGCUCUGGCUUUGACUGAGGACUCAUCCUAGAUCUUGGCGUGGGGACAGCCAGCCUGGGUGGGCAUCCUGCCUCCUAUUGUGGGUCCCCAGGACAGUGACUUCCCUCUCUGUUCGCCCAUUCCCUCGUCCAUGAAAUGGGGCUAACAGCAUGUCCAGCACCUAGAGUUCUCCAUGUCACCUGCUUGUAAAUGCUGAGCUUAAAACACAGCAAGCACUCAGCAAACAAUUACUGCCGUGAGUGAAGCUAAUCUCCUCCAGGCCCAUCUGAGGUGGGAGGAGAGAGGCCGGGGAGAGGGAGGAUACGCUUCCAGCACACCCUGGUCCUUCCUCCCUCUCCUCUCUUUGCACAGGCCUGUCCCAUGCCCAGCUUUAGCCAUUAGGUCCUUACUUGAGGGGAGGCCUCCACACUCCCUGCCUGCCUGACUGGCUGGGCGUCCAGUGAGUUGGAUUCCAGAGAUCCUGGAGCCUGUGAGGAGGAGGAGGACGCAGAGGCUGGGGAUCACAUGAUAAGAGAUGCCCAGGAGACUUCAUGAACGAACAGCCCAGCCCUUCUUGUCUCAGUAGAUAAGAUGAAAAUUUUCACCGACCUCUGGCUUAAGCAAUAAGGAAGACGUAUUACUUCAUAUGAUGAAUGCUCAGAAUGAAGGUGGCGUAUUCGUUAUCUCUGACUACACAACAAAUCACCCCCCAAACUUGGAGGAUUAAAGCAACAAGAAUCAUUCUCUACCUCAUGGUUUCUGGGGGUAAGAUCUCGGGAGUGGCUCCCCAGGGCGGUUUGAGCUCUGGAUCUCUUGGAGGGUGCAGUCAGAGGGGCUGGUGGCUGGCAGUGUCAUCUGGCUGCCGUCUUCAUUUACAGUCUGACACCUGGGCUGGGCAGACUCAAACAGCUGGUCCUCCUCGGGCGUCGCUCUCCUGCUUGUGUGUUCAUUUCAGCAUGGUGGCUUCAGGAAAGCCAGACGUCUUUCCUGCAGUUCAUGAGGGGGUCCCCUGAGUGUGUCCCAAGAGAGAUCCAAGGAGAGGCCAUAUCACUUUUUUUUUUUUUGAGACAGAGUCUCACUCACUCUGUCGCCCAGGCUGGAGAGCAGUGGUGCAAUCUCGG